AGUGAACGCUGGCGGUGGGCCUAACACAUGCAAGUCGAACGGCAGCACAGUAAGAGCUUGCUCUUACGGGUGGCGAGUGGCGGACGGGUGAGGAAUACAUCGGAAUCUACUUUUUCGUGGGGGAUAACGUAGGGAAACUUACGCUAAUACCGCAUACGACCUACGGGUGAAAGCAGGGGAUCUUCGUACCUUGCGCGAUUGAAUGAGCCGAUGUCGGAUUAGCUAGUUGGCGGGGUAAAGGCCCACCAAGGCGACGAUCCGUAGCUGGUCUGAGAGGAUGAUCAGCCACACUGGAACUGAGACACGGUCCAGACUCCUACGGGAGGCAGCAGUGGGGAAUAUUGGACAAUGGGCGCAAGCCUGAUCCAGCCAUACCGCGUGGGUGAAGAAGGCCUUCGGGUUGUAAAGCCCUUUUGUUGGGAAAGAAAAGCAGCAGAUUAAUACCCCGCUGUUCUGACGGUACCCAAAGAAUAAGCACCGGCUAACUUCGUG
rnacentral:rRNA from 1 species